rnacentral:rRNA from 1 species
AGUGAACGCUGGCGGCGUGCCUAAUACAUGCAAGUCGAACGGAGUGGCGCACGGGUGAGAAAUAUAUAGCUAAUCUGCCCCUUGCUGGAGGACAAAAGGUAGAAAUGACUGCUAAUACUCCACAGCAAGGGAUGAGAAUAUAUCGUAUCAGCUAGUCGGUGGGGUAACGGCCUACCGAGGCUAUGACGCGUAACUGGUCUGAGAGGAUGAUCAGUCACAUUUGAACUGGGACACAGUGCAAACUCCUACGAGAGGGAGCAGUAGGGGAUGUUGCACAAUGGGGGAAACCCUGACGCAGCAACGCUGCGUGGAGGAUGACACUUUUCGGGGCGUAAACUCCUUUUGUUAGUGAAACGGUACCUAACGAAUAAGCACCGGCUAACUCCGUGCCAGCAGCCGCGGUAAUUC